rnacentral:rRNA from 1 species
UACGGAGGGGGCUAGCGUUGUUCGGAAUUACUGGGCGUAAAGCGCGCGUAGGCGGCCCUGCAAGUCGGGGGUGAAAGCCCGAGGCUCAACCUCGGAACUGCCUUCGAUACUGCGGGUCUCGAGUCCGGGAGAGGUGAGUGGAAUUCCUAGUGUAGAGGUGAAAUUCGUAGAUAUUAGGAAGAACACCAGUGGCGAAGGCGGCUCACUGGCCCGGUACUGACGCUGAGGCGCGAAAGCGUGGGUAGCAAACCGG